rnacentral:rRNA from 1 species
GAUCAUGGCUCAGGAUGAACGCUGGCGGCGUGCCUAACACAUGCAAGUCGAACGAGGUAAAUAAGAUGAAGUUUUCGGAUGGAUUCUUAUUUACCGAGUGGCGGACGGGUGAGUAACGCGUGGGUAACCUGCCUCAUACAGGGGGAUAACGGUUAGAAAUGACUGCUAAUACCGCAUAAGCGCACAGUACCGCAUGGUACAGUGUGAAAAACUCCGGUGGUAUGAGAUGGACCCGCGUCUGAUUAG